rnacentral:tRNA from 1 species
UGGCAUUCCUGAUGGGACUUGAACCCACAAAUAACACCUUGAAAGGGUGGUGACUUUACCAAUUUGUCUACAGGAAU